CCUACGGGAGGCAGCAGUGGGGAAUAUUGCACAAUGGGCGGAAGCCUGAUGCAGCGACGCCGCGUGAGGGAUGACGGCCUUCGGGUUGUAAACCUCUUUCAGCAGGGACGAAGCGUGAGUGACGGUACCUGCAGAAGAAGCGCCGGCCAACUACGUGCCAGCAGCCGCGGUAAU
rnacentral:rRNA from 1 species